UUGUACAUUUUCCGAUCGUUGCGGCAGAGUGAGAGAGGGCAACCGAGAGAUCCUCAAUGGGGAGAGUGAGAAAAGAAGCACAUCGCAUAUACAACUCAAAAUGAAAUUGGUCCCGAGCAGUGUGCCAAGGUGUCGGUAUCUCGGUGUAUUGAGUGACAUCACACUUGUCCCGACCAAGAAAUCCGAGUGCAUCAGCACGAGAGAUUCACUGAAGAGGUAUAUGGGGCGCCUUCUUAAAUAACACAAAAAAAAACAAGCAGAGAUUCAAAAAAAAAUGAGAAGAAGAGCAGAAACGAUGAGUAUCCCAAAUGUCUCUUAGUCACUAACACGCAUGAUGCUACAGAAUUAUACAAAAAAAAAUGUCUUGAUAUGUACUUCCUCGCACAAGCGAUAAAUUCUUCCACGUUGCCUCACUAUCAUUUUGUGACGGAUUGAUAAGAGAAACGAUUUUGCAAUCAACAUUAUGCCAAACAAGAGUAAGAGGCGACAUUUUUGCUGUCUCGCAUAGCGCACACAAGCCUUUUCGGUUAUCACCAACUCUCCCGCCAAUUGAAAUCGUUUAUCUUCAAUAGAUCUUCUCCAAUGAUAACAUCAACCAAUUUGCACUCUCGCAGUUCUUUUCCUUUGUUGGUGAAACGCAUUGAAAUUCUAUAUAAUCGCAAAAAAGACGCCACACACAAGUUGAUUGUACUAUACCAAAAUAUUCCACCUUUACAGCCAAUCAAGUGUGGGAGCAUUUAGUAAAGCAUAUAUAUUAUAUUUGUUAGGCACGAGGCCUAAUUGAGAGUGAUGAAUUCAUCUAAACUCAAGACAAUCUGUAGUUAUUUUGAUUUUUUGUGUCGCCAAUUGAUUAAAAAUUCUUUUAAAAAAAAUUAUAAACUUCUAUUUAUUUUAUUCUUUGCAUAAUUGAUAAAUAGUCGAGCAGGGAUUGACCAAUGAAUAAGAAAGUUUGUUUUAAAGAAAAAUUUUGAUUGGGUGAUAAAUCCUAGAUAAAAUCAACUCAUAGGCUACUUUUGGUAAGUUCUAUGUCAACACCUAAGGAAUGAGGAGCCUCGGUUCAAAGUUAAUUUGAACAGGAUAUAUGGAAAGAGAUUGAUGAUUGAACUUGAAAAAGAAAAAAAAUCAAGAACUUAUCGAACUCAACAUUAGCCUGACUGAGAACUAUCAUUAAAAGCACAUAAAUUCUUAAUUCGAUUGACAUGAAAUGCAAUUUAGUGGAGAACGAGAUCUUGUAUAAAAAGCUACAAAAUCAAUUUCUAACCCUAUCCAUCAGAACUUCGUCUCAAGAACUAGAUUUUUUCUUACAAAAUAUUUACCUAAUCCAAAUUCUCAUUUUGCAUAAAACACUAUAGCUGCCGAAUGUUUACAUUAAGAGCACGUUGCAAAAAGCUCCACAAUUAUAAUUGAAUCGUAUCCGACACAUGAGAGACAUUAUUGAAAUUUAUGCGAACCUAAACAUGUUCUUGAACCUGCGGUGUGUAAACAUGGACUUAAGUAGUUGGCCACCGGCUAAUAUGUAAUGGAAUCUCUUAUAGCGCAAAUUAGAUAGGUGGGAGAAAAUAAAGCUGCACCUGUAUUUACAAAUUCGCAACGAUGUUCAGGCUCAAUUAACACGAAAAUACGCAAAGAUAAUGCCUUUUCUUCUAUUGGCAUUACUCACGAGAUAGAUUCGCCCGAGCCUCCAACGCCUAAAAAAUAUCGAAUUAAAGGCUGGGCAAAUCAAUAUAUCCAGAGCACAAGGUUUUUCGCGGCAAUCCUUUGGAUAUGUGACGACCAACCACAUUUUAUGUGAAAAUUCUGAGCAUUUUUAUCAUUUUACAAUACCCGUAUAGCAUUUCUUCCUACAAAUGAUUCACAUAGUUAAAGAACAAAAAAAGAGAGGCCACGUUGUAAACUUUUGCGGAACUUUCAUCAGAAAUAUUAUACAUUUCGAACGUCCCAUUACUCAACGUUCAAUUAGUAAGUGUAGGAGCAAUUUAAUAUGAUUGUCGUGAAAACAUUCUAAGUGAUUUAAUAAAAAGCAUUGUUACCAGUCACACUAUUUGGUCGCGGUAUUAAAUUUCAUGCAACAUCAAUCAAAUUAUCCACAUAGUCCACACCUUCUUUCUCACACAUAACAGAGAGAACGCGAAUACAUAAAAAAAAGUUCCUCAUUUGCUCUAUUUAAAGCAAGUUUGUACUGAAACUUUAAAUGAAUAAAAAAAAAUUAGAGAGGAAUUUAUCAAAAUCGGAUUAAUUGUCCUUUGUAGGCCUGAUGAAGAGGGAAUAAAACUUUCAAAACGUCAUAUUUAAAUUGGUUGAGAAACAGCUAAAUCGUACUACGUCACAAACAGGUGGAGCCUCAGUGCAAAGUUAAUUUAAACAGAAUUUAAGUAAAAAUUUUCCACAAAGAGAAAAUUAUGUAGUGCUCAAGACAAUCCUAAUUGGUUGAAUUUGUUUGACUUCUUGACACAUUAAAUUGGCAAAAAAUGAG